UUAUUAGAUCAAAACCAAACGGCUUCGGCCGUUCCACUGGUGAUUCUGAAUAACUUUGGGCUGAUCGAAUGGCUUCACGCCGUCGACGUAUCAUUCUAAGGUGUGCCCUAUCAACUGUCGACUGUGAUAUAGACGCUCACAGUGGUUUUGACGGGUAACGGGGAAUCAGGGUUCGAUUCCGGAGAGGGAGCCUGAGAAACGGCUACCACUUCUACGGAAGGCAGCAGGCACGCAAAUUACCCACUGGUCGAAGACCGAGGUAGUGACGAAAAAUAACGAUAUCGGACUCAUCCGAGGCCCGAUAAUCGGAAUGAGUACACUUUAAAUCCUUUAACGAGGACCCAUUGGAGGGCAAGUCUGGUGCCAGCAGCCGCGGUAAUUCCAGCUCCAAUAGCGUAUAUUAAAGUUGUUGCGGUUAAAAAGCUCGUAGUUGGAUCUCGGCAGGUAGGGGGCGGUUCGUUGUAUGACGCUACUGUCCCAUUUACCUGUGUUUUUGACGGAGGUUUCGUGGUGCUCUUCACCGAGUGCUGCGGGAUGCCGUCAGGUUUACUUUGAAAAAAUUAGAGUGCUCAAAGC
rnacentral:rRNA from 1 species